rnacentral:rRNA from 1 species
UGAGCAAUCUGCCCUUCUCUUUGGAAUAAGCGUUGGAAACGACGUCUAAUGCCGAAUAUGACCUCCUUUCGCAUGAUCGGAGGUGGAAAGCUCCGGCGGAGAAGGAUGAGCUCGCGGCCUAUCAGCUAGUUGGUGUGGGUAAUGGCCCACCAAGGCGACGACGGGUAGCCGGCCUGAGAGGGUGACCGGCCACACUGGGACUGAGACACGGCCCAGACUCCUACGGGAGCAG